rnacentral:rRNA from 1 species
UCGGGGGUACACGAGUGGCGAACGGGUGAGUAACACGUGGGUGACCUGCCCUGUACUUCGGGAUAAGCCUGGGAAACUGGGUCUAAUACCGGAUAUGACCUUCUCCUGCAUGGGGGUUGGUGGAAAGUUUUUGCGGUACAGGAUGGGCCCGCGGCCUAUCAGCUUGUUGGUGGGGUAAUGGCCUACCAAGGCGACGACGGGUAGCCGGCCUGAGAGGGCGACCGGCCACACUGGGACUGAGACACGGCCCAGACUCCUACGGGAGGCAGCAGUGGGGAAUAUUGCACAAUGGGCGAAAGCCUGAUGCAGCGACGCCGCGUGAGGGAUGACGGCCUUCGGGUUGUAAACCUCUUUCAGUAGGGACGAAGCGCAAGUGACGGUACCUACAGAAGAAGCACCGGCCAACUACGUGCCAGCAGCCGCGGUAAUACGUAGGGUGCGAGCGUUGUCCGGAUUUACUGGGCGUAAAGAGCUCGUAGGCGGUUUGUCACGUCGUCUGUGAAAACCCGAGGCUUAACCUCGGGCCUGCAGGCGAUACGGGCAGACUUGAGUACUGUAGGGGAGACUGGAAUUCCUGGUGUAGCGGUGGAAUGCGCAGAUAUCAGAGGAACACCGGUGGCGAAGGCGGGUCUCUGGGCAGUAACUGACGCUGAGGAGCGAAAGCGUGGGUAGCGAACAGGAUUAGAUACCCUGGUAGUCCACGCCGUAAACGGUGGGUACUAGGUGUGGGUUUCCUUCCACGGGAUCCGUGCCGUAGCUAACGCAUUAAGUACCCCGCCUGGGGAGUACGGCCGCAAGGCUAAACUCAAAGAAUUGACGGGGGCCCGCACAAGCGGCGGAGCAUGUGGAUUAAUUCGAUGCAACGCGAAGAACCUUACCUGGGUUUGACAUAUAGAGGAUCGCCGGAGAGAUUCGGUUUGCCUUGUGCCUUCUAUACAGGUGGUGCAUGGCUGUCGUCAGCUCGUGUCGUGAGAUGUUGGGUUAAGUCCCGCAACGAGCGCAACCCUUGUCUCAUGUUGCCAGCACGUAAUGGUGGGGACUCGUGAGAGACUGCCGGGGUCAACUCGGAGGAAGGUGGGGAUGACGUCAAGUCAUCAUGCCCCUUAUGUCCAGGGCUUCACACAUGCUACAAUGGCGCGUACAGAGGGCUGCGAUACCGUGAGGUGGAGCGAAUCCCUUAAAGCGCGUCUCAGUUCGGAUUGGGGUCUGCAACUCGACCCCAUGAAGUCGGAGUCGCUAGUAAUCGCAGAUCAGCAACGCUGCGGUGAAUACGUUCCCGGGCCUUGUACACACCGCCCGUCACGUGCAUGAAAGUCGGUAACACCCGAAGCC